AUCCAGCUAACCAGUCACAAAUAGGACGAAACGCGCAUCCUGGAU
rfam:Schistosoma rodhaini strain Burundi genome assembly, scaffold: SROB_scaffold0015649